rnacentral:snRNA from 1 species
CACAAGGAAGAGAGAUGG